UCUGCAGAACCCUCGUCAUUCCCCUCCCAGAGCUUCCAAAAUCCCUCGGCACCCUCGGGGGGGGGGAAGCCCUGAUGCCUCUUCCUGCCCUUUGUCCCGCGGUGCCGUGGAAUGUCAGUCCGGGGAGAUGGGAAUUGCUGCCCUCACCCCCUCAGUGCUGCCCUCACCCCCUCAGUGCUGCCUCAACCCCCUCCAUAAAUGGGGGCCUCUUGGUGUCUCCUCAACGCAACCCCUCAGUGUGCCUUGCAGAGGGGCUGGUUGGGGUAAAAGUCAAAUUAGGAACUGGUUGUGUCCGAGAGGGGCCGGGCUGCUCCUGCUUGCCAGUGGAAAACCAGCCUCGGAUCCUGCCCCGGCUGUGCCAGGGAAAUCCAGCUCUGGAAUCCUGCCCCGUGCUGUGCCAGUGCUGCUCCUGCUGCUCCUGCUGUGCCAGAGGAAUCCAGCUCUGGCCUCCUGCUCCGUGCUGGUGCUGUUCCUGCUGCUCUGUGCCAUGCUGGUGCUGCUCCUGCUGUGCCAGGGAAAGCUGGCUCUGGCCUCCUGCUCUGUGCCAGCAUUCUGUGCCGGUGCUGCUCAUCUGCUCCUGCUGUGCUGGAGGAAACUGUCCCUGGCACGAGCUCUGCUCUGUGCCAGUGCUGCUCCUGCUGUGCCAGGGGAAAACUGUCCCUGGUGUGUGCUCUGCUCUGUGCCAGUGUUCUGUGCCAGUGCUGCUCCUGCUGCUCCUGCUGUGCCAGGGGAAACCAGCUCUGGAAUCCUGCCCUGUGCUGUGCCAGUGCUGCUCCUGCUGCUCCUGCUGUGCCAGGGGAAACUGGCUCUGGCCUCCUGCUCUGUGCCAGUGCUGCUCAUCUGCUGCUGCUGUGCCAGGGGAAAACUCUCUCUGGUGUGUGCUCUGCUCUGUGCCAGCAUUCUGUGCCGGUGCUGCUCCCUCUGUGCCAGGGGAAAACUGUCCCUGGCACAAGCUCUGCUCUGUGCCAGUGUUCUGUGCCAGUGCUGCUCCUGCUGCUCCCUCUGUGCCAGGGGAAACCGGCUGUGCCAUCCUGCUGUGUGCUGGUGCUCUGUGCUGUGCCAGUGUUCUGUGCUGGUGCUGCUCCUGCUGUGCCAGGGGAAACCGGCUCUGGCCUCCUGCUCUGUGCCAGUGUUCCGUGCCACUGCUGCUCAUCUGCUCCUGCUGUGCCAGGGGAAAACUCUCUCUGGCGUGUGCUCUGCUCCGUGCCAGCGUUCUGUGCUGGUGCUGCUCCCUCUGUGCCAGGGAAAGCUGGUCUGGCAUCGUGCUCUGUGCUGUGCCAGCAUUCUGUGCUGGUGCUGCUCCCUCUGUGCCAGGGAAAGCCAGCUCUGGCACCGUGCUGGGUGUGAUGCCAGCGUUCCGUGCUGGUGCUGCUCCCUCUGUGCCAGGGAAAGCCAGCUCUGGCACCGUGCUGGGUGUGGUGCCAGCGUCCCGUGCUGCUGUCCCGUGCUGGUGCUGCUCCCCCUGCCCGUCCUGUGCCGGGGGACAGCGGCUGUGCCACCCUGCCCUGUGCCACUGCGCCGUGCCAGCGCUGCUGCUGCUGCUGCUGCUCCCACUGUGCCAAGGGAAACUGGCUCUGGCACGCUGCUGUGUGCUGGCUGUGCCAGAGCUCUGUGCCAGCGCCCUGUGCCAGUGUUCUGUGCUGGUGUUCUGUGCUGUGCCAGAGCUCUGUGCUGGUGUUCUGUGCUGUGCCAGAGCUCAGUGCUGUGCCAGAGCUCUGUGCCAGAGCUCCGUGCCAGUGUUCUGUGCCAUGCCAGAGCUCUGUGCUGGUGUUCUGUGCUGUGCCAGAGCUCUGUGCUGGUGUUCUGUGCCAUGCCAGAGCUCUGUGCCAGCGUUCUGUGCCAUGCCAGAGCUCUGGGCUGGUGUUCUGUGCUGUGCCAGAGCUCAGUGCUGUGCCAGAGCUCCGUGCCAGUGUUCUGUGCCAUGCCAGAGCUCUGGGCUGGUGUUCUGUGCUGUGCCAGAGCUCUGUGCCAGUGUUCUGUGCUGUGCCAGAGCUCUGGGCUGGUGUUCUGUGCUGUGCCAGAGCUCAGUGCUGUGCCAGAGCUCUGUGCCAGUGUUCUGUGCCAUGCCAGAGCUCUGUGCCAGUGUUCUGUGCUGUGCCAGAGCUCUGUGCUGGUGCUGCUUCUACUACUUCUGCUGUGCCAGGGGAAUCUGGCAUCCUGCUGUGUGCUGUGCCAGUGCCCUGUGCUGGUGUUCUGUGCCGUGCCAGAGCUCUGUGCUGGUGCUGCUCCUGCUGCUUCUGCCGUGCCAGGGGAAUCUGGCAUCCUGCUGUGUGCUGUGCCAGCAUUCUGUGCUGUGCCAGCGUUCUGUGCUGUGCCAGUGUGCUGUGCCAGUGUGCUGUGCUGCUGCUGCUCCCUCGUGCCAGGGCACUCUGGCUCUGCCAUCCCGCUCCGUGCUGUGCCACCGUUCCGUGCCGUGCCAGUGUUCUGUGCUGGUGCUGUGCCUGCUGUGCCAGGGCAGUCUGGCUCUGCCCCGUGCUGGUGCUCCGUGCUGUGCCGUGCCCUGCGCUGUGCCAGCCUCGCUCUGCCCGGUGCCAGGGUGCUGUGCCAGCGCUUCCCCCUGUGCCAGAGCUCUGUGUCAGUGUCACGCUCUGCCUGGUGUCACUCUGUGCUGGUGUCACACUCUGCCCGGUGUCACGCUCUGUGCCGGUGUCACUCCGUGCUGAUGUCACUCUCUGUGUCAGUGUCACACUCUGCCCAGUGUCACACUCUGUGUCAGUGUCACUCUCUGUGCCGGUGUCGCUCUGUGCCGGUGUCACUCGCUGUGUCAGUGUCACACUCUGCCCGGUGUCACACUCUGUGCCGGUGUCACUCCGUGCUGGUGUCACACUCUGUGUCAGUGUCACACUCUGCCCGGUGUCACACUCUGUGCUGGUGUCACUCUCUGUAUCAGUGUCACACUCUGCCCGGUGUCACACUCUGCCCGGUGUCACUCCGUGCUGGUGUCACUCUCUGUGUCAGUGUCACGCUCUGUGCCGGUGUCACUCUGUGCUGGUGUCACACUCUGUGCCGGUGUCACUCUCUUGUGUCAGUGUCACACUCUGCCCGGUGUCACUCGCUGUGUCAGUGUCACGCUCUGUGCCGGUGUCACUCUCUGUGUCAGUGUCACACUCUGCCCGGUGUCACGCUCUGUGCCGGUGUCACUCCGUGCUGGUGUCACUCUCUGUGUCAGUGUCACACUCUGCCCAGUGUCACACUCUGUGUCAGUGUCACACUCUGCCCGGUGUCACACUCUGUGCCAGUGUCACUCCGUGCUGGUGUCAGUCUCUGUGUCAGUGUCACACUCUGCCCAGUGUCACACUCUGUGCCAGUGUCACACUCUGUGUCAGUGUCACACUCUGCCCAGUGUCACACUCUGUGUCAGUGUCACACUCUGCCCGGUGUCACACUCUGUGCCAGUGUCACUCCGUGCUGGUGUCAGUCUCUGUGUCAGUGUCACACUCUGCCCAGUGUCACACUCUGUGCCAGUGUCACACUCUGUGUCAGUGUCACACUCUGCCCAGUGUCACACUCUGUGUCAGUGUCACACUCUGCCCGGUGUC
rnacentral:lncRNA from 1 species